CUACGGGCCGCUGCAGUGGGGAAUAUUGGACAGUGGGCGCAAGCCUGAUCCAGCAAUGCCGCGUGAGUGAAGACGGCCUUAGGGUUGUAAAACUCUUUCGCUAGGGAAGAUAAUGACUGUACCUAGUAAAGAAGUCCCGGCUAACUCCGUGCCAGCAGCCGCGGUAAUACGGAGGGGACUAGCGUUGUUCGGAAUUACUGGGCGUAAAGAGUUCGUAGGCGGACUGACAAGUUAGAGGUGAAAUCCCAGGGCUCAGCCCUGGAACGGCCUUUAAAACUGUCAGUCUAGAGACCGGAAGAGGUGAGGGGAAUACCUAGUGUAGAGGUGAAAUUCGUAGAUAUUAGGUGGAACACCAGUGGCGAAGGCGCCUAACUGGUCCGGUACUGACGCUGAGGAACGAAAGCGUGGGGAGCAAACAGGAUUAGAUACCCGCGUAGUC
rnacentral:rRNA from 1 species